CGAAAAGGCACUACACAUUCUGCUUAGCAGGAAUAGUUUUCAGAUAAGUGUAUCAUUCAUUUGAAGAUUUUUCCUACUCAUUCUUCACCAACUAUCAACUGUAACAUUCUCAAAAAAAAAAGGGAAACUGUUGUUAAUAUGGCUUGGAUAAUGAUCUUCAGUGACUAAGAAAGUGCAGCCAAAACAUAAAUUUGUUUCACUCGAUUACUUUCCCUCCUUCGACAGCCGCAACGGCCAUAUCUUUGUCUUACGGCUAAUACUCAGUAAGAGAGGGACCACAGAAGUUUGGGAGUUUUAGCAAAAAAUCACGAGCAGAUGUUGCAGUCUUGCAGACCUCUAAUGCUCUGCAACGUUUACAUACAUAUCGCCCUCUUAUCUGCCUCUUUUUCUUCUUCCUUUUGUUCUUGAUGAGGCUAAAUUGUUGCAGAACUCAAUGGCUUCCAUCUCUGGUUCUUCUGCUUCAUCCUUUUCCAAAGAUAACACUAUGAGAUUAGACAUUGAGUCUGUGAGUGCACUUGCCACUACAAUCAAUCAGCACAUAAAUGCAUUACUUGCAAAUAAUAAGGCAUGGAUGUCUUUGAAAUUCAAAUGCACUUCCAAGCUUAAGAUUCAGAAGCAACCAACUUUUGAAUUCUCAGAGUAUUCGAUAGUAUCAAAUCUGUAUUGGGGUAUUGAGGCUAUUGAUGCGGCAACUCGAGCAAAAGGGGAAGAAGAGAGAACCUCGAGGCUGCAGAAUUCAGAGAAAAUGCUUCAAGUUCCUGCUUCACUCCAUGAGCAAGGAUUUACAUCUGGAAUUCCCAAUGAAUAUUUGAUCUGUUGCUCCUACUUUUACCUAUCAGUUGUCCGGAAGCUCCAAAAAGAUGAUUGGCAGGCUGCAUUACACUUUCUUCAAGCUCUUCUUGUUUCCCCUAGGCUUGUCCGUGAUGAAUUCGCGCCAGAGCUUUGCCAAAGUAUCAUGCAUAUGUACAUCAGGCAUAAAAGGCAGGAAAGACCUGGGAGUAGGUUAUCAAAAUCAGCCACUGUCAUAGAUCUUGAUGAGGAUCAGGCCAAUGAAAUUAUGGGAUGGAUGGCUAAGGAAUAUAAAGCCUGGUUGUUAUAUUACCAGAUCAUGUCUAAUGGUGAGCAUGAUCCAAAGCACCUUGCAAGCAUAGACAAUGCUGUCCCAGACGACAAAUCAAAGUACAUAAUGGAACCAGUUUUCAGAAGUGCCAAUGGGAAAAGCCAAGGGAGCAAUCUUAGGGGCUGUUACGCAGAAACCAUGAGAAGCUCGAGUAAGAAAUGCUUAAAAGAUAUCCUAACUGAAUCACAGUCUGAUACUCCAAUUUCCAUGGAGUCAUGCAACAGCAGUUCAACAGAAGAAACGUUUCCUGAGGGAAACCAGAGAGGCUCGGCAUUCUCACUGAAAAUCAGAAAGAAAAAUGCAGACGACCAGCAAGCUGAAGUUGAUGAUCAGAACUUGCAAGCUUCUUGCUACAAGCAGCAUGCAGAAAUUACAGCAUGUACGCCCCAGCAUUCUACACAUCUAAUGCGUAGAGAUGGCCGAGGAUUGGCUGUUCUCAAUCUCCUUUCUAGAACAUUAUCCAGCUCAUUCAGUGACAUAGAUGUAUCAGCUACAAGACCGAUAGACAAUAAUUCACAUGUCCCUGUACAUGGAAAAAGAAAAAAAGAUGCUGCUCAAGGCAAAUUCGAGUUACAAGAUUGGCGACAAUCUAGUUUUAAAGAGUUGGCAACUCCUCCAAGGGGUCAUCAGUUCCACCAACUGCAUCGUACAAGAAGUUUAGUUUCUGAUACGGGAAUGAAAAGCACAACUUUUGGUGAUACUUUACAUCAACUUCAAAAAUAUCCUGAAGAAACCUCUCAUAUCGAGCAGGCCCAAAUACUAGAAAGGCUAAUUUCAAAGCUUUGCUUCUCCGAAACACUGGGAAAUCUUGAGGAAGAUUAUACAGUUGAAAUUUCAACGGUAUACAAAUUGUUGAACAAUAGAAGAGGUUUGAAGUAUUCCCUACUGAAGGACAUCAUUUUGGAUCAACUGCUAAUGGCUAUUUCAACCUCCAAAAAGGAGCAGGUGAUCAGAGCUUCAGUGACUAUACUGUCAACAAUAGUUUCGGGGAACAAAACAAUUAUUGAAGACAUCAAGCGCAAGGGUUUGCAGUUGUAUGAUUUGGCAACUGCUCUUAGAAGAAAUGUGCAUGAGGCAUCUAUCUUAAUCUAUUUGAUAAAUCCUCCACCUGAAGAAAUCAAGACAUUAGGAAUUUUACCUUGUUUAGUGGAGGUCGUCUGCACUUCUAACAGCUACAAGGAUGCUAUAACAUCAAUUCGGCUGACACCUCGGGCAGCAUCACUGAUGAUUAUUGAAAUACUUGUGACUGCAUUUGACUAUACAACAAAUAACAUGCACCUGUCCACUAUCAGCUCACCUAGAGUACUUUCUGGGCUCCUUGAUGUCCCAGGAAACAAUAACCUUGAAGAGUUCAUCUCUUUGGCUGCUAUCCUUGUAAGAUGCAUGCGUUAUGAUGCACACUGCAGAAAGUUCAUAUGCGAGUUCGCUCCAAUUACUGAACUUUUCUCUCUCCUACGAAGCAAUCAGAAACGAGCAACAUCAACUGCCCUGGAAUUUUUUCAUGAACUGCUUCGCAUGCCAAGGUCAUCAGCAAUUAAAUUGCUGCAAGAGAUAAGAAAAGACGGAAGCAUCAACAGCAUGAGUGCAUUGCUACUUCUCAUCCAGAAUUCUCAACCUGAGCAUAGACUCUUAGCAGCAAGUUUGUUACUCCAAUUAGACUUGCUGGAAGAAGCAUCUAGCAAGCUCAUGUACCGAGAAGAAGCCAUGAAGGAACUUCUUGAAUCACUGAUAUCUGAGGAAAACUCUGCAAAACAAGCAUUAUCAGCAUUCAUCCUAUCAAAUAUAGGCGGAACUUAUUCUUGGACUGGAGAACCAUACACAGUGGCGUGGUUGGCAAAAAGGGCUGGUUUAACCUCACUACAUCACAAGAACAUGAUAAAGAAUUAUGACUUCUCAGAUGAAAGUUUGCAGGAUGCUGGCAUUGACGCAUGGUGCAGCAAACUUGCAAGACGCAUUAUGAAGUUUGGCGCUCCUGUCUUCCAUGAUCUGGUGAAGGGACUUGACAGUAAGUCAAAGAGGAUUUCUCGAGACUGUCUCACAGCUAUUGCAUGGAUUGGAUGUGAAGUUGCAAAAAGUUCUGAUGAGUUGCGAUCCAGUGCAUGUGAGAUCUUGUUGAACAAAAUGGAGCAAUAUGUGCAUCCUGGAUUUGAACUCGAGGAAAGACUAUUGGCAUGUCUAUGCAUCUACAACUAUACUUUGGGUAGAGGGAUGAAGAAGCUGAUACAUUUUUCAGAAGGAGUGCGAGAAUCACUGAGACGCCUUGCAAAUGUCACCUGGAUGGCAGAGGAAUUACUAAGAGUAGCUGACUAUUUCCAACCUAAUAAGUGGCGAAUAUCUUGUGUUCAUACUCAAACUUUGGAGGUUGGUCAUGGUCGUAAUGGAGCUGUAACAGCUCUCAUAUACUACAGGGGACAGAUUUGCAGUGGAUAUGCAGAUGGUUCAAUUAAGGUAUGGGACAUUAAGGGACAGACUGCAACACUAGCACAGGACAUGAAAAAUCACAAUAAGGCAGUAACAUGCUUUGCUCUUCUUGAACAAGGGAAUUGCCUGCUGAGCGGAUCUGCAGACAAAUCAAUUAAGAUUUGGCAAAUGGUCCAAAGAAAUCUUGAAUGCAUAGAAAUAAUAGCAACCAAGGAAUCAAUUCAAAGUAUUGAUACUUUUGGGCAAUUAAUUUUCACAAUUAGCCGAGGUCAUAAAAUGAAGGUUUUUGAUGCCUCAAGAAAUGCAAAAGACAUUUUCAAGAAUAAAAGUGUAAAGGCCAUGACGGUUGUACACGGGAAGGUAUACGCGGGGUGUGUAGAUUCAAGCAUACAGGAAUUGGCCAUAACAAACAGCAGAGAACAAGAGAUUAGAGCACCAGCAAAGAAGUGGCUGAUGCAGAAUAAGCCAGUCAACACGCUAGCUGUUUACAAGGACUGGCUAUAUGGUGGAAGUGUAGUAGUUGAAGGUUCUACAAUAAAGGACAAACGUGCAGGAUUGGAGACGCAACAUUAAGCCCCAAGUAUCAGUGAUGUCUGAGAAAGGUGCAAAUGUGCUCGCUAUGGAAGUAGUAGAGGAUUUCAUAUACUUGAAUACCGCUGCGUCAAGAAGCAGUCUUCAGAUCUGGUUGAGAGGAACACUACACAAAGUUGGAAGAUUAUCAGCUGGCAGCAAAAUAACGAGCCUACUUUCCGCCAAUGACAUGAUUCUUUGUGGUACUGAGACAGGACUCAUCAAGGGCUGGAUUCCACUGUAACAGAAGACGGACAUGACCCCAGAUAUGGGUCGACUCAAAUGCUUAGAAUCAGUUUGGAGCCAUAUUCCCCAUGUAAAAAGUUUAUAUAUAUAUAGAGAGAGAGAGAGAGAGAGAGAGCAAAGAAUGUAACUAGAAAACAAGAACAUCAUACGAUAAAAUCACUGUAUAUCAUCAAAAAUUGUGUACGCCUGGCAUGUAAAUUAGUGGAAAAUCUGAUAUUUGUUUGCAUAA